rnacentral:rRNA from 1 species
ACUCCUGCGGGAGGCAGCAGUGAGGAAUAUUGGACAAUGGGUGGAAGCCUGAUCCAGCCAUCCCGCGUGCAGGAAGACGGCCCUAUGGGUUGUAAACUGCUUUUAUCUGGGGAUAAACCUACUUACGUGUAAGUAGCUGAAGGUACCAGAAGAAUAAGCACCGGCUAACUCCGUGCCAGCAGCCGCGGUAAUACGGAGGGUGCAAGCGUUAUCCGGAUUUAUUGGGUUUAAAGGGUCCGUAGGCGGACUGAUAAGUCAGUGGUGAAAUCCGACAGCUUAACUGUCGAACUGCCAUUGAUACUGUUAGUCUUGAGUAAGGUUGAAGUGGCUGGAAUAAGUAGUGUAGCGGUGAAAUGCAUAGAUAUUACUUAGAACACCAAUUGCGAAGGCAGGUCACUAAGUCUUAACUGACGCUGAUGGACGAAAGCGUGGGGAGCGAACAGGAUUAGAAACCCGUGUAGUCCCAUGA